rnacentral:rRNA from 1 species
AGCGUAGGCGGACAUUUAAGUCAGGGGUGAAAUCCCGGGGCUCAACCUCGGAAUUGCCUUUGAUACUGGGUGUCUUGAGUAUGAGAGAGGUAUGUGGAACUCCGAGUGUAGAGGUGAAAUUCGUAGAUAUUCGGAAGAACACCAGUGGCGAAGGCGACAUACUGGCUCAUUACUGACGCUGAGGCUCGAAAGCGUGGGGAGCAAACAGGAUUAGAUACCCUGGUAGUCCACGCCGUAAACGAUGAUUGCUAGUUGUCGGGAUGCAUGCAUUUCGGUGACGCAGCUAACGCAUUAAGCAAUCCGCCUGGGGAGUACGGUCGCAAGAUUAAA